CCAAUAGCGUAUAUUAAAGUUGUUGCAGUUAAAAAGCUCGUAGUUGAACUUCGGGGUUUACUCAUUGGUCAGGCUUAAUUGUCUGUACUGGUUAGAUGAAUCUCUACCUUCUGAGGAACUUUCAUGCCAUUUGUUUGGUGUGAUUGGAAAUCAGGACUGUUACUUUGAAAAAAUUAGAGUGUUUAAAGCAGGCUAACGUC
rnacentral:rRNA from 1 species